CGAAAUGCGAUAAGUAAUGUGAAUUGCAGAAUUCAGUGAAUCAUCGAAUCUUUGAACGCACCUUGCGCUCCUUGGUAUUCCUUGGAGCAUGCCUGUUUGAGUAUCAUGAAAUCUUCAAAGUAAAUCUUUUGUUAACUCAAUUGGUUUCUACUUUGGUAUUGGAGGUCUUUGCAGCUUCACACCUGCUCCUCUUUGUUCAUUAGCUGGAUCUCAGUGUUAUGCUUGGUUUCACUCGGCGUGAUAAGUUAUCUAUCGCUGAGGACACUGUAAAAGGUGGCCAAGGUAAAUGCAGAUGAACCGCUUCUAAUAGUCCAUUGACUUGGACAAUACUUUUAUGAUCUGAUCUCAAAUCAGGUAGGACUACCCGCUGAACUUAAGC
rnacentral:misc_RNA from 1 species